AUAGAAUUUAAAAAUAUAAAACAUAAAAUGUUAAAAAGGUGCAAUGUGGGAGCUGUGCAGUGGAAAAAUAAUCUUACAGUAGGUAAAGGUUAGAUAAAUAUAGAGUCAAGGUUUAUCUAUGAACUUAGAAUAUAGUCAACAGGGUGGAGAUAAAUGCCGUCAUGUCUGUCCCUCUCUGUCCCUCACAUGCCAGCAGUGUCCUAAUCCAGGAGAGGUGGUCAACGGAGCACGCUCAGUGCGCCCUGAGGCUGGUUUUGCCGUCGGUACGGUCGUUCUUUCUCUUGUAACCAAGGUUACCAACUGGAGGGUCCAAGCCAGAUCUCCUGCCACGGACGAGACACUGUGUCUCAGUCGUUCGAGCCGUCUCAUCAGAUCCUGAGUGAGAACAUCGCCUCGGCUAUCAUUUUGCCGAUCAUCCUGGUCAUCCUGCUGAUCGGAGGAAUUUACAUGUGCUAUACAAACAUAUGCAGACUAGAGUGGAAGCCGCUCUUCUGGAAGUCUCUUUCUAACACACACUCCUACAGUCCCAUCACAGUCGAGUCCGAUUUCAACAACCCUCUUUACGAG